GUAUUUAUUUAGCAUGUAAGGGCCCAGAUCACGGUCCCUGCUUGUAAGGAUCUUGGCAUCUUAUUAGGAAAAACAUAUAUAUAAAAUCAGUAUGAGAACAUGUCAGGUGCUCUGAAUAUCAGUACAUGUUUUUGUUUGUUUUAAAAAAUAUCAUGCUAAUUACCACUUACUACAAUUAGUUUUACUGGAAAUAUUUUGUUUGAUUGAACAUGAGGUCCGUGGACUCAAACAUGUUAGUGAUCAUUAUUGACAGUGAAAUCACUGUUCUAGUUAAUGUGAGUUAAGAGAAUGACCUCCGAUUUAUUAUUAAUAUUAAAAACAUCACCUGUUUCCCACAGGAAAUAGCCAAAGAAUUAAAAUAUAAGGAUGGAAAUCUUGUGGCAAUAUUGUGGUAGCUCUUUGCAUCCAAUCUACUCCUCAUAGGGGAAGAGAGAAGACAUUAUUUCUAAACACUUAUAUGGUGGAUAUUAUUAAAAAUUUCCUUGGAAUUUGAAUGCCUAUUUGACUUUCAGGCAAAUUUUACAUUCAAUGUUUAGAAAUUGAAACAUUUAUGUUAUUACAUUAUUUAAUUAUGGUGUAUUACUUGCCUGACUGAAGAAGAAAAGAAUAUUCUUGCUCAACUGAAAACCAAUGUACCCAACUUAUAAUUUUUCUAAUUUGAAAUAAUUAUACUACACAAAGUGCAAAGCCAUUUAUUAUAUUUGAUUCAUCACAUCAAUUUUCCUUUAAAUCAUUUAGAUAUUAUAUGCCUUGCAAGAAUCAUUUAUGCAGUAUGUGACAAAUUCCAAGAACAGAAGUAAUAAUGCAUGCACUUUACGUCUGAGAAAAUAUGCCAAACCAUUUAAACAGAGGGAAUUCCUACAUUUGUUUACAUGGAAAAAUAAAAGAUGAAAGGAAAAAAUCGGAGAAGGGAGAUAUAUGAAUCCACUAGGAAUAUAGCAGAUGGAGAAUUUGACUGGACACAGUUGCAGCUCAGAAGCAAAUUACUGAGGUGGAGAAUUACAAAGCUCUUCUUAUCUCAGGAAAUACACAUUGUCUAAUUCUGAAGAGAACAUGUGAAACUCAACAACUGAAACGUUUCUCUGAGUUUUGUGGGCAGAACAGUGUCCUUGGAUGGUUGAAAAUGCUGUGAGAAAUUAAGGCCAAAGAAUAGUUCUUGAGAUUGAGUCCUAUCGUAUAUCUUAUCCAUUGCUUACUCUCACAGAGCUGAACACAAGAACCAGAAGUAUUUAUUCCUGUUCACCAAGGUGGAAAUCACAAGCAAUGACAGCUCAGACUCUGUCAGGUAUUCUCAACUGCAAAAAUGAGCUCUCAGUCAGUAACCACCAAAUCAAUGAGGUGUGUGCCAGGACCAUCAGAGGCAACAAAAUGUUAGGCCCAAGAAAAAAUGGAUAUUGAAAAUAAAUUCAAUAGAUUUGUUCAAGGAUUUAAAUUAGGGUGUUACAUCAACAAAGAAAAGAAUUGGCAGUUACGAGAAGAAUUUAUUGAAAAUCUU
rnacentral:lncRNA from 1 species